rnacentral:rRNA from 1 species
UGGGGAAUAUUGGGCAAUGGGCGAAAGCCUGACCCAGCGACGCCGCGUGGGGGAAGAAGGCCUUCGGGUUGUAAACCCCUUUUGCAGGGGACGACACAGGACGGUACCCUGCGAAUAAGCCACGGCUAACUCUGUGCCAGCAGCCGCGGUAAGACAGAGGUGGCAAGCGUUGCUCGGAUUCACUGGGCUUAAAGGGCGCGUAGGUGGUUUUGUAAGUCUAAGGUGGAAUUCCACAGCUUAACUGUGGGACUGCCUUUGAUACUGCAAGGCUUG